rnacentral:rRNA from 1 species
GUAGGUGGCAAGCGUUGUCCGGGAAUUAUUGGGGCGUAAAGCGCGCGCAGGUGGCUCUUUAAGGUCUGAUGUGAAAGCCCCCCGGGCUCAACCGGGGGAGGGUCAUUGGAAACUGGGGAACUUGAGUGCAGGAGAGGAAAGUGGAAUUCCACGUGUAGCGGUGAAAUGCGUAGAUAUGUGGAGGAACACCAGUGGCGAAGGCGACUUUCUGGCCUGUAACUGACACUGAGGCGCGAAAGCGUGGGGAGCAAACAGGAUUAGAUACCCUGGUAGUCCACGCCGUAAACGAUGAGUGCUAAGUGUUGGGGGGUUUCCGCCCCUCAGUGCUGCAGCUAACGCAUUAAGCACUCCGCCUGGGGAGUACGGUCGCAAAGACUGA